GUGGAUAUUUCUUCCCCCUCGGGGAAAGCUUAUGUGAGGAUUUUCUUUUUUAACAGUUCAUUCCAUGAAACCGUUUUUUUCUUGUUUGCUGUUAGAAAAUGUUGGAGCUGAACACAAGGCUUUCUUUGCAGAUGCUGUCAAGGGAACUAGGAAAGGAUGUAAACAUAUUGUUAAUGUCUCUCUUCAAGCUGUGUUUGAGAGUUAUUUGACCACAAGUGAUGUUUCAUCUGGGCCUGUGUGUGCUCUUGUGUUUUCAAAGAAGCCCACAAACAGACAUGAAAUGGAAAGCUGA
rnacentral:lncRNA from 14 species